GACGAACGCUGGCGGCGUGCUUAACACAUGCAAGUCGAACGGAAAGGCCCUGCUUUUGUGGGGUGCUCGAGUGGCGAACGGGUGAGUAACACGUGAGUAACCUGCCCUUGACUUUGGGAUAACUUCAGGAAACUGGGGCUAAUACCGGAGAGGAGCUCUUGCUGCAUGGGGGGGGUUGGAAAGUUUCGGCGGUUGGGGAUGGACUCGCUGGUUACCAGCUUGUUGGGGGGGUAGGGGCUUACCAAGGCUUUGACGGGUAGCCGGCCUGGGAGGGUGACCGGCCACAUUGGGACUGAGGUACGGCCCAGACUCCUACGGGAGGCAGCAGUGGGGAAUCUUGCACAAUGGGCGGAAGCCUGAUGCAGCAACGCCGCGUGCGGGAUGCCGGCCUUCGGGUUGUAAACCGCUUUCGCCUGUGACGAAGAGUGAGUGACGGUAAUGGGUAAAGAAGCCCCGGCUAACUACGUG
rnacentral:rRNA from 1 species